rnacentral:rRNA from 1 species
UACGGAGGGUGCAAGCGUUAUCCGGAUUCACUGGGCUUAAAGGGUGCGUAGGUGGGCAGGUAAGUCCGUGGUGAAAUCUCCGAGCUUAACUCGGAAACUGCCGUUGAUACGAUUUGUCUUGAAUAUUGUGGAGGUAAGCGGAAUAUGUCAUGUAGCGGUGAAAUGCUUAGAUAUGACAUAGAACACCAAUUGCGAAGGCAGCUUACUACACAACGAUUGACGCUGAGGCACGAAAGCGUGGGGAUCAAACAGG